GGAAAGACACAAACAUUCAUCUUUCAGGAACCAAACUCAGGAAAUCAACUUCGUUCACCAAAAAAGUGCACGAGGACAGCCAAGCAUUUCUGUGUCACGAUCCAAAAAAAGCUGUAUGAGCUGAGGAGGGAGCCUCGUGAGCUAGCUAAUAGGCAUCACCAAGCACAAAGACACAGACUGUCAUCUGUUCCUAAACAGAUGACGAGAUAAACCACAGGAAUGAUCCAAAAGCAGGAAAUCCGCUCUAAUGCUGGAAACUAUUCUUUAAAGAACUACACAGGACUUUUAAAAGGGAAAUAAGAACACGUUUCCUAUGCACCUUCUUAAGUGCUAUGGUGGGCACUUGACUAGUUGGAUUCAUUUGUUCCUGAGACCACGGAUGACUAGUAAUUAUUUUAAUUGCCCCAUGUGUGAAAGGGAAUCUUUUGUGUAUCUCUGAAGAUUAACUUGAAACAUAAAUACCCAUGCUUGAAAGACAGGCAUUGAACACCGUGUGGGGGCGAGAGAAUCGUACUUAUGGAUCGUAUGGAUCAUACUGUGAGUCUGUGUGGAGGCAGGAGGUAACAGGAAGAAAUAUAAAGAUCAGAUCCUAUGCCUUGGUGGAUGCCAUGAUGGAAACCAUCACCGAAACCCUGCAGUUCAGCUGGACUUUCAAUUGAUUGAAAAAUGAUGUUUUUGCCCAUCUGCUUCACCACAUAGUGGCAGAAGCUGCGGCCCCUUCUUCCAAAAGCUGUCCUUGGGAGACAGAGCAGCAAGGUUUUAAUUGCUCCUUGAAG